UAGGUCUUGGCAGCAUGGAGAAAAGGUGGAGGCCCUUCUUCUUUCCAUCCCCAACUUGUUCCCCUCCAGCCCCCAAGGAAAGGCCCCUUUUCAUUUCCUCUCAGGGCGCCUGAUACUCUUUGCCAGACUGUUGCCUAGCAACAGUGCCCUCUACGGCCAGCUCCACCCACUUCAGACGCCAAGGCUAGGGGUACACAGCCAGCUCUGAGGGCCCGGCCUUUGGCAGGCAGGGAGUGGGGGGCCCUGGGCUCCCAAGUUGGGAGAAGGAGGUCAGAGAGCAGAGAGGAGCCUGGGUGGGUUCUGAGACUGGAGGCAGUGACCUGCGAGGAAAGGGAGUGUGCCCUGGGCACCAAGCCAUGGCAUCUAGUUCAGGGCCCCUCUGCUUCCUCAGAACACCCCGUGGGGUCGCAUGAUCAUCCACGUGACAGAUUCUGAAGACAACUCUGCCUUGUGUAGGGGAGGGAGGCCAUGUCAGGCUGCGCGUAGCAAGAACCACGGGGCCUUGAGUCUGAAGUCUGAGUUUGAGUAGAGCUGGGAUGAGUCACUUCCCUUCCCGAAUCCACUUCCCACACCUGUAGAAUGGAGACAUGGUACCCACUUCCCGGGGAAGUGUGUGAGGAUAGAGCAGGAACACGGGAAGGCUUGGUACUGGGAGGGUACGGAUUAUUUUUAUAAGCAAGGAGUGUGACAUCUAUUUUUAGAGGAGAAAGAAUUUCGUUACAAAGAACUCUCCUAGUCCCCUCCCAGAGUGGAUGGGCUGAGGUGCGGGGGAGCAGUAGGCCUGGAGGACUCCCUGAAGAGGUGGCCUGGGGAUUCCUGGCAGAGGGAACGGCCUGUGCAAAGGCCUGGAGACACGCGACUGAGGCGCGCCUAACAAUGGCUACCAUGGAUUCACGGGCAGGCGCCUGUACACUCAAUCCUCACGGCAGCUCCAGGACACUGGAGUCAGUGCUCCUGUCUCACAGGAAAGGAAACGUUGGCUCAGAAAGAUAAGGAAACCGAAGCACAGAGAGGCAGGUCAUCUGGCUGAGGUCACACAGCCACGCGGCGAGAGAGCAGUGAAGCCGGAGUUCCAGCAAGCUCCACCUGGCGAGAAUUCAAGCCCUGCCAUGGGCCACCUCUCUGGAGGAAGAGAAAGCCAGCUUCAGACUCUGCCUCUCUCAAUCCUUAUACAAGGCCAGAGAGCGCUUGAGGCUUCCAGGCACUCCUAUGCUUACACACCUUCCAUGGCUCCCAGCUGCCCUCCAGAUAAAGAACAAACUCCUCAGUGUGGCCCUUGAGGUCCUGUGAUCUGGCCUCUGUCCACCACCAGGGCCCCCCUCCUGCCAGAUCUCUGAGCCUCGGCCACGCUGACCUGCUUCUCUCAGGGCCUCAACAGGGCCGAUCUCCAUCCCUGCUGUUCCCUUGGUCCAGCAUGCUGUUCCCCUCUAGUUGCUUCUCCUUACCCUGGGGGCCUCCACUCAAAUGCCACCUCCUCCACUGGCCGGACGCUGCCAUUAACCUGCUCGAGUGCUCUCCCUGCAAAACUCAGCACAGGCCGGGCACAGUGGCUCAUGCCUGUAAUCCCAGCACUUUGGGAGGCCAAGGUAGGACGACUGUUCGAGCCCAGGAGUUCAAAACCAGCCUGGGCAACAAAGUGAGAUCCUGUCUCUAUUUUUUAAAAAAUUAGCCGGGCGUAGUGGAGCACACCUGUAGUCCCAGCUACUCGGGAGCUUAAGGCGAGGGGGUAGCUUGAGCCCAGGAGUUCGAGGCUGCAGUGAGCUGUGAUCACACCACUGCACUCCCGCCUGGGUAACAGAGCAAGACCCUGUCUCAAAAAAAAAAAAAAAAAAAGACCCAUAGCACAAUUGUAAUCAUGUGGGUCAUUGUGGGGUGGUGAGUCACAGCUGGUGAGUGGCAGAAUCAAGACCAGGUCCAGGUGGUACAGCCACAGAGCUGGUGCCCCCAAGUACUCGGCUGCUCACAUGGGCCCCAAGAGACCUCCUCACUGGCAAGAGGAAGAAGCCACCUCCUCUCGGAAGAAUGAGCAGAGCUAGAGUACAGUGGCACAAUCACUGCUCACUGCAGUCUCGAACUCCCCGGCUCAAGCAAUCCUCCCACCUCAGCCUCCUGAGUAGCUGGGACUACAGUCGUGUGCCACCACACCUAGCUAAUUUUUUCUAUUUCUUGUAGAGGUGGAGUCUUCCUAUAUAGCUUAGGCUGGUCUCAAACUCCUGGACUUAAGCAAUCCUCCUGCCUCAGCCUUCCAAAGUGCUGGGAUUACAGACAUGAACCACCGUCCCCUGUAACCACUGUUUAAGAAAGUAAAAAGAUGCAGAAGAAGUUAAUCUAAUAUUUUGUUUAACCCACUAUACUCCAAAUAUCAUUCCUACAUGUAAUCAAGAUAAAAAAAUUAUUAAUGGCUGGGUGCCAUGGCUCACGCCUGUAAUCCCAGCAUUUUGAGAGGCCGAGGCAGGCAGAUCACCUAGGGUCAGGAGUUCAAGACCAGCCUGACCAACGUGGUGAAACCCUGUCUCUACUAAAAAUACAAAAAUUAGCCAGGCUUGGUGGCGUGUGCCUGUAGUCCCAGCUACUCAAAAGGCUGAGACAGGAGAAUUGAUUGAUCUUAGGAGGCAGAGUCUACAGUGAGCCAAGAUUGCACUGCUGCACUCUAGCCUGGGCAACAGAGCAACACUCUGUCUAAAAAAAUAAUAAUAAUAAAUAAAUAAUCAUUGAGAUAUCU